GGCGGGCGGGCCGCAUCCCGUGCACGCGAAGGGCAAAAGCAUUUUUAGCCUCCGCGAGUGUGCAGGGANCGAACCCGUGCCGCGGCGAGUCUCACUGACUUUCAAGGGACACGGCCGCGAAAUGGGCCGUGACGCCUCAAC
rnacentral:rRNA from 1 species